rnacentral:rRNA from 1 species
CACGUAGGGCGCAAGCGUUGUCCGGAAUUAUUGGGCGUAAAGAGCUCGUAGGCGGUUUGUCGCGUCUGCUGUGAAAACGCGAGGCUCAACCUCGCGCCUGCAGUGGGUACGGGCAGGCUAGAGUUCGGUAGGGGAGACUGGAAUUCCUGGUGUAGCGGUGAAAUGCGCAGAUAUCAGGAGGAACACCGGUGGCGAAGGCGGGUCUCUGGGCCGAUACUGACGCUGAGGAGCGAAAGCGUGGGGAGCGAACAGG